rnacentral:rRNA from 1 species
AGCGAACGCUAGCGGCAGGCUUAACACAUGCAAGUCGAACGGGCUCUUCGGAGCUAGUGGCAGACGGGUGAGUAACGCGUGGGAACGUGCCUUUCGGUUCGGAAUAACUCAGGGAAACUUGAACUAAUACCGGAUACGCCCUUCGGGGGAAAGAUUUAUCGCCGAAAGAUCGGCCCGCGUCUGAUUAGCUAGUUGGUGAGGUAAUGGCUCACCAAGGCGACGAUCAGUAGCUGGUCUGAGAGGAUGAUCAGCCACAUUGGGACUGAGACACGGCCCAAACUCCUACGGGAGGCAGCAGUGGGGAAUAUUGGACAAUGGGCGCAAGCCUGAUCCAGCCAUGCCGCGUGAGUGAUGAAGGCCUUAGGGUUGUAAAGCUCUUUUGUCCGGGAAGAUAAUGACUGUACCGGAAGAAUAAGCCCCGGCUAACUUCGUGCCAGCCGCCGCCGUAAGAC